rnacentral:tRNA from 1 species
UCCUCCUUAGCUCAGCGGUGGAGCACUCGGCUGUUAACCGAUAGGUCGUUGGUUCGAAUCCAACAGGGGGAGCCA